AUUGAACGCUGGCGGCAUGCCUUACACAUGCAAGUCGAACGGCAGCACGGGAGCAACCCUGGUGGCGAGUGGCGAACGGGUGAGUAAUAUAUCGGAACGUGCCCAGUCGUGGGGGAUAACGCAGCGAAAGCUGUGCUAAUACCGCAUACGCUCUACGGAUGAAAGCGGGGGAUCGCAAGACCUCGCGCGAUUGGACCGGCCGAUAUCAGAAUAGCUAUUUGGGGAGGUAAAGGCCCACCAAGCCGACGAUCUGUAGCUGGUCUGAGAGGACGACCAGCCACACUGGAACUGAGACACGAUCCAGACUCGUACGGGAGGCAGCAGUGGGGAAUUUUGGACAAUGGGCGAAAGCCUGAUCCAGCAAUGCCGCGUGCAGGAUGAAGGCCUUCGGGUUGUAAACUGCUUUUGUACGGAACGAAACGAUGAGCUCUAAUGCAGUUUGCUAAUGACGGUACCGUAAGAAUAAGCACCGGCUAACUACGUGCCAGCAGCCGCCGUAA
rnacentral:rRNA from 1 species